CUUCACCUCUUUCACUCACUCCCACCUCCUGCCCUUGGCAACCACCAAGAUGAUGCGAGAAGGAAAUGGGGCAGUGGCCAUUAGGACAGUGCCUGGCACUCACCCCGGUGCCAGCAAUGAGAGAUGCCAUUGUUAGGAUGACUCCAGCCUUGGGGAACAGAUAAGGGAACUGAUUCACUCCUUUCUCUUGCCUACUUGGCUCCAUUUCAUUGGAAGGCAACAGCUGAAGGGCAAGUGACUGAAACAGGAGUAAAGAGAUGUUUGGUCAGCACUUGCUCCAUGGUGGGGGCUAGUGGGAGGACAGGGAAGUCUGAGACGAUCCUGCUCUUAGGGAGUCGACCGCAGGGUGGAGAAGUCAAGACGGAGCCCCAGGGAACCAGGGGACAAGAGGGUCUACUGAACCUGUCAGCUGCAGCCUUGGCCACUCAAGGCACUGGGACCAAAUGAACAACACAGACAGGACCCCUGCCUUCACAGGAGCAGACCACACACAUGGAAACGAGUCAGUAAGCAGGCGAUUCUGAAAGAUGGGGUGACACAUGGAGCAUCUUCUCUGAGGAGACCACUGGGCUGCUGUGACCCGAUGAUGAAAAGCCUGUGAAGAUCUGGAGGAAGAAGUUUGUGGCAGAGGGAGCAGCAAGUUCAAGGACCUGUGCUCAGUUGGGGAAUAGACACAUUUUUUUUUUUUUAUGAAAAAAAUUCUAAUUAUUUAUUUAUUUAUUUAGAGAGGGGGGAGAGAGCGCGCGAGCAGGCGAGGGGCAGAGAGAGAGAGGGAGAGAGAGAAUCGCAAGCAGGUUCUGCGCUGUCGGCCCGGAGCCCGACGCAGGGGUGGAUCCCUCGAACUGUGAGAUCAUAACUGAGCCAAGAUCAAGAGUCGGCCACCCAAUUGACUGAGCCACCCAGGCACGCCGGAAUAGACACAUUUUAUAGCAGAAAGUCUCAACCGCCUUACCCAAAGCUGCCAUUUUGUGGACAAGCAGGCCGGGGCCAGAGGAGCUAGUAGGUAGACGAUUCCUCUCCCCCCUGGGCCAGGCAAGUCUGCAACUCCCCCCUCCAGCUUCAGCACACCCACCCUGGAGGCAUAGAACACGGUCCUGGGAGGAUCCUCUCUGGCUGGGUCCUCUCCCUCCUCUGUCUCAGCUGGAAAAUGCAUGCAGACGCGGGUAGGUGAGGGCAGCGUUUCGAGAGACCCUGGAGCCCUUUCUCCUUGUCUGUCCGUGGGGCACCUUAACAAUCACCAGCUGAAAAAACAAACUUGGGGGCAGCUCACCUCACAGCAGGUGCAGAGAUGCCAAGGCUGUGAGGGUCACAUGGGCCCCGAUUCUCCUCUCAGGGUGAGACAAGCAAGCGUGACCUGGAAGAAUAAAAGCAUUUGUGGUUCUGA